AUCACCGGACGAUACAUCAUACUCCAUCAGGGUGUUUGCAGCAUCAGACUAUGCCUUGUUGUCCUUGUGGUAUGGCAUCUCUGGAGCCUGUGGUGUCCAUCCCUGUCUCUGGUGUGAAGAGACAAAAAGCAGAAUCCAACUGCCAAAGUCAGAAAGGCAAACAUGUCCUAAACGGACAUUAGAGAGUUUGUCCUCUGAUUACAAUCGUUUCCUGGAAGAGGGGCAAGGAAACAUCAAGAAGGCCAAGAAUUUCAAGAAUGUCAUUGCUCCCCCAAUGUUUGAGAUUCCUCUGAAUCAGGUAUGUGUUCCUGGCCUUCACAUCAGUUUAGGACUGUUUCACAAGUUCUUCAAGAUGUUGGAGGCAGACCUUCA